rnacentral:lncRNA from 1 species
AUGACCCCAAACAAAUCCAGCAGCUCUUCCCUGCUGCUCCUGUCGGGCUCCUGCAGCAACAAAUAUCCCAAGAUUUUGGCCCCAUUUUUGUUGUGUCCUGUUGAGCUGGAACAAGGACAACACCACCCCAAAAUCACUCAUUCCAGAGAGUCACAGGUGUGUUUUUCCAUCCCAAACCUUUUGGAAAACUUCCCCUUCUCAUCCCAGAGGCAGCUCCAGCCUAACCCCAGAGCAAACCCUUCAGGUGUCCAUCCCCAAGAGCCACAACUCCAAUUUUUAGCACAAACGCGGCAGCAGAACACAAAGGGACGCCAGGAUCUGCCCUCGGCAGUGCCAGCGGCGGCUCGGGACGCGCCCAGCGCCGUUUUUUGGGAAUUUCAGGGAUUUUCACCCCGAAGGGAAGCGGGGCCGGCAGCGCCCCCUGGCGGCGCGGCCGCGCAUCAGAGCGGGCAGGGCCGAGCCCGGGGCGGCGGGCGCGGGUGGAACCCGGGCAGGAAACCGGGCCGGAACCAGGGCUGGAACCAGGGCUGGAACCAGGGCCGGAACCAGGGCCGGAACCAGGGCCGGAACCAGGGCCGGAACCGGGGCUGGAACCGGGGCCGGAACCGGGGCCGGAACCAGGGCUGGAACCGGGGCCGGAACCGGGGCUGGAACCAGGGCUGGAACCAGGGCUGGAACCAGGGCCGGAACCAGGGCCGGAACCAGGGCCGGAACCGGGGCUGGAACCGGGGCCGGAACCGGGGCCGGAACCAGGGCUGGAACCGGGGCCGGAACCGGGGCUGGAACCAGGGCUGGAACCAGGGCUGGAACCAGGGCCGGAACCAGGGCCGGAACCAGGGCCGGAACCGGGGCUGGAACCGGGGCCGGAACCGGGGCCGGAACCAGGGCUGGAACCGGGGCCGGAACCGGGGCUGGAACCAGGGCUGGAACCAGGGCUGGAACCAGGGCCGGAACCAGGGCCGGAACCAGGGCCGGAACCGGGGCUGGAACCGGGGCCGGAACCGGGGCCGGAAC